CACCGGGGCGGGACAGGGCACACCGGGACACACCGGGGCGGGACACUGGGUCGGGCACAGGUGGUACCAGCGAUUCCCUCCGGUCAGGGCUGGAUACAAAGCGCGUUGGCAGGAGUAGUAUUGAGGCUUGUGUGGCGCUUUCUUUCGCUGCCACAUGGCUUUUAAAGAGGCGACACCUGAAAUGUUUGGGUUUUAAGCCAAGGUUAAAGGUCCAAAUGAAAAAGGCGAAGUCAGCAUAGCGUCUGUGGCUCUCUAUAAUGCCAUUUAAGUGUAUUUCUAGUAUAAAAGACUUCGGGGUGUGUUGACUGCUACCUGAGGAAGGACCCUUACAGAAAACAAUGGUUUUUUACAAGCUCUGCUAGAGAUUCUAUUGCUCGCAGGCACAAGCAAAGCAUGGAGACUGAUAAUCAGUUUCAGGUGUGUCUACAGAGGAUUUCACGCAUAAAGUUAAGGAGAUGAUUCUUAAUAAAAGGACCUCCUGCACUCAGAAGAUGAGUUCUCAUAGUGGGAUUUUAUUCCUUUGGCUGGAAAGGAUUAUUGCCUAGAUGAACCUCACUUAAAUAACAAGAAAGAUGGAGAUACAACAGCUGCUGCUGACAAAUGCCUCUGAAGCCCAUGCAGCUCUUCUGUCAGAUCUCUGCUUUGCCUUUGCUGUUACACUGUACAGUGUCACUGAGCUUUAGAGUGUCUCUCACACACCUCCAUAUGGUGUUUUAAAGUCCAUAAAGGAGCAGACCGCACGUUUCUAAUGACUUCACUAAACUUAAUACAAUAAAUGUUUCCUUCCCAUAACAAUGACCUUUAAAUGUUAACUGGCUAAAAAAAAUAACAUUAUCCUUUUUUAAAAAAGGGGGGAAUGCAACUUCUGGUGCUUGAUUGUGUUACAGAAUGACAAUUUCGGUGCUGCAGGGCCCAAAUCCUUUGCAUUAAAUUUGAAACAGUAUAAUGUUUGUUUAGAAGGAAUUUAUUCCUAAUUUAUGCCCUUAUGAAAGAAGGCCUUUAAUUUUCCAAAGAGCUACUUCUGCUGUCUGUCUUUUCAAACUCACAGUCACAUCAAAUUAUAUUUCUAGCAUAUUGUUCUUAAAAUCUGACUAUCAUUUAUCCAUAUUUAUAUACAUAUAUACAAGUUUAAAAUCACUACAUUCUAGCUGCCUUCUUUUAUUUUCACCUUUUAA